CCAGGGCAUACCAGCCACUAUAACCACUACAGUGUGUUGUAGUGGUUAUGGUGCUUGGAGUGUGCCUUUA